rnacentral:tRNA from 1 species
GACUCUGUAGUGAAAUUCAUGGUGAGUUGCAAGCUCAUUGAUGCGCAUUAGAGGUGUGCCAGGGUCU